rnacentral:rRNA from 1 species
UACAGAGGUCUCAAGCGUUGUUCGGAUUCAUUGGGCGUAAAGGGCGCGUAGGCGGACCUGCAAGUCGGGGGUGAAAGCCCGAGGCUCAACCUCGGAACUGCCUUCGAUACUGCGGGUCUCGAGUCCGGGAGAGGUGAGUGGAAUUCCUAGUGUAGAGGUGAAAUUCGUAGAUAUUAGGAAGAACACCAGUGGCGAAGGCGGCUCACUGGCCCGAUACUGACGCUGAGGUGCGAAAGCGUGGGAGCAAACAGGG